UGGGGAAUCUUGCACAAUGGGGGAAACCCUGAUGCAGCGACGCCGCGUGAGCGAUGAAGCCCUUCGGGGCGUAAAGCUCUUUCGGCAGGAACGAUAAUGACGGUACCUGAAGAAGAAGCUGCGGCUAACUACGUGCCAGCAGCCGCGGUAAUACGUAGGCAGCAAGCGUUGUUCGGAGUUACUGGGCGUAAAGAGUGCGUAGGCGGUGUCGAAAGUUUGGCGUGAAAUCUCCCGGCUUAACUGGGAGGGUGCGCCGAAAACUGCGAUGCUGGAGUGUGGGAAAGGCAAGCGGAAUUCCUGGUGUAGCGGUGAAAUGCGUAGAUAUCAGGAGGAACACCGGCGGUGUAGACGGCUUGCUAGACCAUAACUGACGCUGAGGCACGAAAGCGUGGGUAGCAAACAG
rnacentral:rRNA from 1 species